AUUGAACGCUGGCGGAAUGCUUUACACAUGCAAGUCGAGCGGCAGCGCGGCCUUCGGGCUGGCGGCGCGCGGCGAACAGGUGAGUAAUGCAUCGGAACAUGCCCCGUCUGGGGGGAUAACACCUCGAAAGAAGUGCUAAUACUGCAUACGUCCUGAGGGGGAAAGCGGGGGAUGGCAAGACCUCGCGCGAUUGGAGUGGCCGAGGUCAGAUUAGCUAGUUGGUGGGGUAAGGGCCUACCAAGGCGACGAUCGGUAGCUGGUCGGAGAGGCUGAUCGGCCACCUGGGAGCUGGAACAGCGCCAUGACGCCUACGGGAGGGAGCAGUGGGGAAUGUUGGGCAGUGGGGGGGAACCUGAUACAGCCGUCCCAAGUGAGAGAAGAAGGCGUUCGGGUUGUGAAGCUCUUCCGGGAGGAGCGAACCGGUGGGGUCUAACAUGGUGCGCUAGUGACGGUAACGGAAGAAGAAGCACCGGCUAACUACGUG
rnacentral:rRNA from 1 species